GACGAACGCUGGCGGCGUGCUUAACACAUGCAAGUCGAACGGAAAGGCCCUGCUUUUGUGGGGUGCUCGAGUGGCGAACGGGUGAGUAACACGUGAGUAACCUGCCCUUGACUUUGGGAUAACUUCAGGAAACUGGGGCUAAUACCGGAUAGGAGCUCCUGCUGCAUGGUGGGGGUUGGAAAGUUUCGGCGGUUGGGGAUGGACUCGCGGCUUAUCAGCUUGUUGGUGGGGUAGUGGCUUACCAAGGCUUUGACGGGUAGCCGGCCUGAGAGGGUGACCGGCCACAUUGGGACUGAGAUACGGCCCAGACUCCUACGGGAGGCAGCAGUGGGGAAUAUGGCACAAUGGGCGGAAGCCUGAUGCAGCAACGCCGCGUGCGGGAUGACGGCCUUCGGGUUGUAAACCGCUUUCGCCUGUGACGAAGCGUGAGUGACGGUAAUGGGUAAAGAAGCACCGGCUAACUAC
rnacentral:rRNA from 1 species